rnacentral:lncRNA from 1 species
AUCUGCAACCCUCAAAGCAACAAAACAAUGGAGAGACACAAGUUUCAUUCCAGAAAUCAAAGACAAGGUGAGAGCAUCGAGUCGUUUUUCAGUGAUCUGAGAAUUAAAGCCAAGAGCUGCCAUUUUGGAGAUUUAGCUGAUGAGCUAAUCUGUGACCGAAUAGUCUGUGGCAUCACCAAUGAUUCUCUGAGGAAGACACUUUUGAGAGACGGUGACUUGAGCUUAAAUAAAGCUAUUUCCAUCUGUCGUAUUCACGAAAUGACAGAGGAAAGCAGCAAGACACUCGGUAUAAAAGCUACCAGUGUUGACAGCAUAAAGCCAUUUUCACACAGAAAGCAGCAGCCUAAGCUACAACAGCUGUCACUGCACAGGACUAUAUCGAACUGUAAUAACUGUGGGGGCAGCCAUGCAGCUAAGCGGGAAAAGUGUCCAGCUUUUGAACAACAGUGUCACAACUGUAAAAAGUUUAACCAUUUCAAAAAAUGCUGUAAGUCCACACCACGCUGCCGGCCCAGUUUCAGUAAAAGGACUCUCAGACACUCAGUGCAUGAUGUAGCAAUAGAGGAGCCUGCCACACUCAGUGAAGAUUCCUUUUAUGUGGAUGGCGUUGACGUCGAUAAGAACAUCGAUGUCAUAAAUCCUCAAAAUGAUAAAAAAGAUGAAGGAUUUGUAACAGUACACAUCAACAACAAGCCCAUUGAAAUGAAAGUUGACACAGGUGCUAAAUGCAAUGUGAUGUCUCAAAAGACAUAUAGCAAAGUUUUAAAGCUGAAGCAACCUGUAGUUAAAGAAAACGCCACAAACCUUGUUGCUUAUGGUGGCAGUAAGAUUGAAACUAAGGGCCUUGUUACAUUAUCCUGCAGUUUAAAGGGACAGUGCCAUGCUUUACUAUUCUUCAUUGUAGACAGAGAAGUACAGCCUCUACUUGGAUUUCGUGCCUGUGUUGACAUGGGAAUUGUGACAAUGAGCCAUGAUGUUCACCAGCUCACUAUGGACACUAACACAGAUUUUACAAGGCAGAUCAAAACACAGCACAGUGAUUUAUUCAAUGAUGAACUUGGAGAGCUGCCUAUCACGUACUCUAUGACAGUGGAUCCCAGCAUUCAGCCUGUGGUCCGCCCUGCUCACCGCAUUCCAGUCGCGAUGCAAGAGAGAGUUAAAGCUGAACUAGAUCGUAUGCAAAUCAUAGGUGUAAUAACACCUGUCACAGAGCCCACUGAUUGGGUUUCAUCGAUGGUGGUAGCACAUAAGAAAGACAAAGAACAGAUCAGAUUGUGCAUCAACCCAAAAGACCUUAAUACAGCUCUAAAAAGACCCCACUAUCCCAUGCGUAGUGUUGAGGAAGUCGCCGCACAGAUGGCUGGUGCGACUGUGUUUUCAGUCUUAGACGCUAAAAAUUCCUUCUGGCAAAUACAGCUCGAUAAGAAAUCUUCAAUGCUAACAACAUUCAGCACACCCUUUGGACGCUAUAGAUUUCUACGCAUGCCUUUUGGCAUAAACUCUGCCAGCGAAGUGUUUCAGCGUUCUAUGGAGCAGCUAUUUUCUGGCUAUGCAUGCUCGGUGAUUGUCGAUGACAUCAUCAUCGGAGGU